rnacentral:misc_RNA from 1 species
AUCGAGUUUAAAACUGGUUGGGAUGUCAGAUCUGAAUACACCACUUUCUAGGCAUUCCACAUGACCACCAAUGUAUGUCUCACUGUCAAGGAGUUGACUACCAUAAAACUUCUCUGGAUCAGACUGGUGCUUGUUUGGACAGAUAACAUUUGCCUUAUAAGCCUGAACCAUAAGAAGCAUUUCACACAAAGUCCCACUUCCUUUGCUCAAGACUUCAUCUGGCGGCAUGGGUAUUAUGGUUGCAAGGGAGAAAAUGAAGGGAUGAACA